GACGAACGCUGGCGGCGUGCCUAAUACAUGCAAGUUGAGCGCUGAAGGUUGGUACUUGUACCAACUGGAUGAGCAGCGAACGGGUGAGUAACGCGUGGGGAAUCUGCCUUUGAGCGGGGGACAACAUUUGGAAACGAAUGCUAAUACCGCAUAAAAACUUUAAACACAAGUUUUAAGUUUGAAAGAUGCAAUUGCAUCACUCAAAGAUGAUCCCGCGUUGUAUUAGCUAGUUGGUGAGGUAAAGGCUCACCAAGGCGAUGAUACAUAGCCGACCUGAGAGGGUGAUCGGCCACAUUGGGACUGAGACACGGCCCAAACUCCUACGGGAGGCAGCAAUAGGGAAUCUUCGGCAAUGGACGAAAGUCUGACCGAGCAACGCCGCGUGAGUGAAGAAGGUUUUCGGAUCGUAAAACUCUGUUGGUAGAGAAGAACGUUGGUGAGAGUGGAAAGCUCAUCAAGUGACGGUAACUACCCAGAAAGGGACGGCUAACUACG
rnacentral:rRNA from 1 species